CAGUAACCUGCUUAUCUACUCAAAGGUCCAGCGUCUUCUCUUGGAGCCAAAGAAUGAUCUGAGGGAACAUGUAAGCCAUAUUUCUGCUCAACUUAAUGCUGAAGUUAGAGGUAAGUAAAUUCAGAUGCGAAGUGUGGGCUGAGCUAAAAUUACCCAGUGAUGAAACAUUCACAUGUCUUACCUCCUGUCGUAGCCCCAGAGCCUGUAAAGGUGAACCCACUGGGGCUGGCUGGGGGAGAAGAGGAAAGUUUGUUCCAGAAGGAACUGUCUGAGGGAUCAUAAGGAUUUCUAAACAUGG